GGGUUGUUAGCUCAGUUGGCUAGAGCGUCUCUUUGACGUAGAGAAGGUCGGGGAUUCGAGUUCCUCACAACCCACCA
rnacentral:tRNA from 1 species